UCUCAGGUAUAACACCCAAAAAAAAUGACAGCAUAUGUCUACACACAAACUUGUACACAAAUGUUAAUAGAAGCAGAUUCAUACAAGCCCCAAAGUGGAAAAGACCCGAAUGUCCAUCAACAGAGGACUGUAUUAAUAAAUGUGGUAUAUACAUAUAAUAGAAUAU